CCAGAAUAUUUUCAUAUAUUAUGAUUGAUUCGUAUUAAAGACAAUUGUAACGCCACAGCCAAAAAUAUACAUAUCGAUGUUUCACCCGAUUUUCCAUUUUUCCUAUUUAUCGUUACAUCGUUAUAUUUCUCGUUCUUAUUCCAUAGACAAACUUUCUAUAAUAUAUACAUCUGUCAAUAUACGUUGCACUUAUUUAUUACGUUGUAUUUAUGUAUUAAUUAAAUCCACGUAGCUAUAUCGAAUUUCAUAUGAUUUGGUAAUACGUAUACGCUUUCAUAUGACCAAAAAAUCUUAUAAUAUCUACAAUGAAACGUGCAACCUGAUAAAAAAAACACUUCAUCGGAAAAUAAGGAUAUAUACGAAUACUUUUUGUAGUUACUGUACGUACCCAAGUACGUAAGUUCUGUCGUUUCGCUAUUGUGUUGAAUUUUACUUGUAUUCGAUGUGUGUGUGUGUGUGUGUGUGUGUGUGCGUGCGCGCGCGCGCGCGUGCAUGUACGUGUAUGUGUUAGAUAUGUAAUAUGUACAUAUCUUGUAUGCCAACAAGCGCGCUCUUAUUUAGGUCGGUUGUAAUUCGACAAUGUAUAACAUAGCCUCUAAAUUGUUGGUUGUACGAUGAAGAUAGACACGCUUACGUUACCUGCUUCAAACUCCAUGCUUGAACAAAGCUAUUUCAACUAUCCCGAUAUAGCUAGAGGGAUUCUAAAAUAUUCUUGGAACGCACAGGGUACAGAUACAACCUAUAGACCACAAGUAGUUUACAAUCGCUUCGUGCAGUCUGCAAAUUCUACUCGAACGUGAACGUCUAAAGCAAAAUCAGCCGAGAAAUGUUGCACAUCUGUAAGAACGUUCAUUUAAAUUCCGAGAUGUGCGGGCGUUCUUCGCCGUAAUUAAGAAAUUCUUUGUUCAUAAAAGUUUAUUCCUAGUGUUCUUUUCUAUAGCGAACGAAGCGAUUUCGUCAGUGGAUGAUUAUAAUAUUGACACGUAUUAAAAUGUGGCAACAGGAAAUAAGAAUGCAGAAAGAACGCGAUAAGUUUAUAAGAUAUAUCGUAACACGACGUACACGUAUUGCGUAUACUCGCAAGAGACAAGUGAACGUACAUAGGGAUAUAGACGCGACGAAAUGUAUAUGUACAUGAGGAGGCCGAUGAAUCCUUGAAUAUAUUUCUAAAAUAUAUCUUUGCGUUAUGAGAAUUUUUGAUACUUUUUAGGCGCGCACUUGCUUGUAUGACAGAAUAAGAUAUAGAUAAACGAUCGAGGAAAAAAGAGGAAAGAGAGCGAAUGCUUUGAUAAUUAUAAUUAUAUAUACAGAGGAGGUAUGUCUCACCGCCUUCCAUGAUUUUCAAAUUUGUUCACGAGGUCUUUGCCAUGAUGCUGAGCGACUCUUUUCUACGCAUACGUACAUAUAAACGCACGCACACACACACACAAAAUGUUGACUUUAUGUGCGGACAUGAUACUAUUAUAUGUAUGUCCGUAGUCGUGGCUCACGCAUAGCUAAGGUGAGUUGAGUUUCUUUCUUAUUCUUUCUGUACCUAAAAAAUUGAUACGCAAGAUCUGUGAACGCAUCCUAUAAUGCCAUUGUCACACGCUCAAGAAGGUCAUCCGCUCAGAAACAGUAAUCAGGUCGGCGAAACAUCCUGCAUGCCACAGCUAUCGAAAUAAUAACCAAACAGUAAUGGAAUAGCCGCCUCUGAUAUACAUCCGACGAUAACCCCUCCAAAGGGACUAAAACCUCAAUAUAAAAACCCUCCUAAAUUAGCGCUCAAGACAUUAUUCUGUUGCAACACUUUGAACCGUCACUCUGUUGGAUUUAUAUAAUAAAAAUUCCAUUAUCACAUACAAAGUUCAAUUUCUUCGCCUUAUUCGUGAAACGUUCGAACUGCGACGCGAGGAGAUCACCGGCGAUCUAUCGGUUUCGUGAUUUCUUGUGUCCCCGACGUGACACCAUCAUGCCCGUACAUAAAGUCAACCCGAUCCUAACCCACCUCAAGAUAAAAAGUAGCAAAAAUAUUUUUAUGAAUAUGUAUGUUGGAAAUUAAUGUCGAGCGGUAGUUAAAAAGUUACUCAGAAUAUUGAUCUUAACGAUACAUUUGAAAAUCAUUAAAAUCGGUCAGGUGUAUACCUCCUUCUAUAUAAUUACCAAUUCUUUUUACUUUAUUUUUACUUUAGUCGCAUGUUAAAGAAACAUUCAAAUAAAGACGGAUUUACAUAAUCAGAGAAUAACGAAUAAGUUUUUAAAGAGUGACUGGGUUUUAUUACUUUGGCAGAUGCCUUUAUUUAUCUACGCUUGGAUACACAAUCUUUAUCGUACUCUAUAAAUGUCUUUGACGGUGUUCAUUUGUAUAUGUACCAAACAUGUAUGCACUAUGCAUGUAUAGACAUUUGCGCAUUUCUCUUUUGUCCUCUCGCUUCAGUAUUCGGAAACAAUAGACAUUGUGGCUAAAUUAAAAUCGCCUCCGGAGUUUUCAUAUUUCGCUGUUGAACAGAGUCGUGAGCGCACGUGAACCAACUCCCAGUUCUUAUGCUCGGUAGGCCCGAGGCAUCUCGUUUCAUUUCAGUCCUAACCUUCUCCGAAUCAAGCUAUCUCGGCAACCUGCCUUGCCAACCCGCUGUCACUCUCUUAUUUCUUUCCUAUUUUAUCACAUCCACCCCCCCCUCUCUCUCUCUCUCUCUCUCUCUCUGUUUCUUCGUCUUUCUUCAUUUUUUGUCAUAUUAUAUUUUACUUCUCCUUCUAUUCUCCUCUUCCCCUCUUUUUCUUUUCCUAUAAAUAUUAGGGUGGCAACUAAGUGAUUGCGGAUUUUUUCAUUAGGUGGUAUCGACAAAAUCCGCAACCACUUAUUUGCCAACCCAAUAUAAUCUCCAAACCCUGCUAAUUUCGAUCAACAUUUACAAAUAUGUCAAAUAUGUAUAUUCAAUUUUCCGUCGCAAUAGUUACAGCACUUGACAAAAUCUGUCAAAGAUAUUGUAAAAUAACAAACAUAAAUGAAAUUCCAAAGUUUCGAAACAGUCGGAUAUUUGCUUCUAUGCAUAAUGCUUUUCGCCAACAUAUAAAUACAUAUUAUAUGUGUAUGUAAGCAUUAUGUAUGUGUUAUUAAUCCAACGAUACGUCCAACGAGUUCAAAUUUUUGUACAAAAAUUCUGUCAAUAAGAUCACCGACAGACACGAGAACUAAUUUCGGCGAUUAUGAAGAUAAUCUUACAGAGAUUAAAGUACAGAAUUCUUGCACACACGAUGACUUGGCUUAUAGCUUCGCAACUGCAACGUGAGUAUUGAUUUGCCGCUGUUGCGCUUCAGCUCUGUAGGUUCUACUCGUUUCGCCGUCUUCGGAGACUCUGCCAGCUGUGCCGGAUCUUGUUCUUUUCCCCUAUCAUAGAUUUCUUUUCUUUCUGUAAAUCGUUUAUCGUUUUUUUAUCGCACGUACAACGUUUUACUCGACUUUCUCUUUCUCCCAAUUUACUUAUGUUUUUCUACUCUGUCCUCUUUUCCCCUGAAUCUCAAUAUCUCCAUCAGUUCCUCUUUUUCCCUUUUUCACUCCUUUCCUUUCUUUUCAUAUUACAUAUACGCACAUAUGUACGUAUAUCGUAUAUCCAUAUAUUUCAUCAGGAUAGCAUAUCGUCAUUCGAUUAGUCAUCAUUUCUCAUUUCUUUGUUCAUACUAAUCCCUUUCUCCAUUUUAUAUUUGAUUUUUCAAUCGAAUUCAAAUCGAUAUUCAAAGUAUACGAAGACGACGAAAAUUACGCUCUUUGAAAAUAUCUUAAUCAACAUGUUACAAAUAAUCUCUUCUUAUCUUGUAUAAGGAAAUGCAAGUGGAUGUAGAUAUUCCUAAAAUUGAGAGAGAAAUAUAUUAUACAAGAUUAUAUAAGAAUAUAAGAUUCCAUGGAAGCAGAAGUAGACGAAGAGGAACAAGGAGAAAGGGCAGAAGGUAGGUUGAAAAGUACAUAGUACAAUGUACCGCAGUACAUUUGGCGAGUGUCCAAUGGUAUGUAUAUCACGAUAAACCGACAAAAUGUUUCGAAAGAAUUAUUUUAUAUAUUCUGAAAUCGCUGUCAUUCUUCACAUUGUUAUUUUUAUUAUUCUAUUAUCUUUUUUUGUACUUCUUGAACAUUAUUUCACGCGAACAGCAUUUGCAACUAAUAGGUUGUUGUCGUGAUUUUUCAAGUGAUUUGUAUGUGCAUGUGUGUUUGAGCUUGUAUGUCAGAGAAAAGGCAAUCGAAAGAAAUAACGCAGAAAGAAAGGAAGCAGAGAAGCGAGGAAGAAAGGAAGAGAAAGGGAAAGGGGGAAAAAAAGGAAGAAACAGUUUCAUUACUUUCGAUCCCUAAGAAGGAUAUUCUUGUAAGAGGGGAAGGUAGAAGACGAAACGGGAAUAACCAUUGAAUUCCUUGAGACGCGAGGGAAACCUAAGACGUACGGAACCUUCGAAGAGGGUUCGGCCGACACACCCUACUCGAGUUCUUUCAGAGCAGGGCUGUCCAAAGUUGUGGAAAAAAUAGCAGCUUUCUAUUAUUCGAAGAGAAUCGAUGAUAGCUUUCUGUUUCUAUUUUAACUAAUUUUCCAUUUGUUCCUGUUCAAAGUACGUCUUUGUCUUUGUAUGUUAAAGUUAUGCGACGAGAUUAAGCGCCAUUGCCGCUGAAACAACAAUCUAGCGUUCAUUCUUAAAUAAUAACCAUAAUAACAUUUUAUAUUUUUAUCCAUAUAUUCUUGCUGUCAAACGCACGAAUAUGCUUAAAUGUUUUCUAAUAUAGGUACACUCGCAUACUCGUAUAUCGCAAAAGUGUAUGAAAUACGUACAGUGCAUGUAUAGUGUUUUCUUCUUCUUGCGUAUUUCACAAUAUGGUGAAUAUGCUUCAGAUUUUCACAUCUAAAUCACUCUGAUAUUCAUCUGAUAUUUAAUCUGAUAUUCAAUAAAUUAAACAACAGUACUCACUUAUUAGCUUGUAUUAUUAUAAAAAUAAGGAGAAUAUAUACUUCUAAAAGGUGUAGAAAGUUUCAAAUAUUGGAGUAACAUUUAAAUAACCGUUUGAUAUCGUUAUCGUCUUACAUCUAUUUUUUAAGUACAUUUUUCGUUUUACAGCGUCACAGCUUUUAUUGUAUGAAACAAGUACAUGCAUAUUUUAAUUUUCUACUCUCUUCCAUUAAACAAGAUAGUUAUGUACGAACGUGUAUUGCUAAUACAUAUUACGUAUAUUAAUAUUUCUUGUUUGUAGCGCAUUCUGUAUUUAUUAAAUUUGCAUAUCAGAAUGUAAAACUUAAAGUUAAUAUUCGAUCAUCGACAUCUGUCAGUUUUAUAAGUAACGCGCACUAAAAUAAAAAAAAAAAAUCGUUUGCUUUGGUGUCAUUAUCUUGAGAUUUUUAAAAUGCACCGUUGUAUCUAACAUGUAUAAUGUAACAUUUUUAUUCAUUUACUGUAGUUCAAGAUUUUGUAAAUUACGCUUAUUUCAAAAUAAUUCAAUUAUUCGAAAUGAGAAUAAUUAUAUUAAUCGAACGAAAACAAUAUGAGGCCAAUUAAAGACGAAGUCUGUAACAUUUUAAUUUUUACUCUUUUUCUUUUUCUCCUUUCUUUUUUUUUUUUUUUUUCUUCAAGCGUUACUACUGCUUUGAGAAGUAUAAACAUUAAGCAUAUUGCAUAACAGUUGAUCAUUAGAAGCAGAACGAUCGAUCUAUUCCAUUAUACAAAAAUGCUCCAAAAAAAAAAAAAAAAUUUUCCAAUAUAGCAUCGGGAAGUUUUUUUCCAAAUUUGAUCCCUAGAUUCCAUAAUCGACAACGCAAGUAUUCAUUUUUCCCUAUUUUUGCAAAGAAUUGCAAAUGUUAUUUUUGCAGCCAUUGCACGUAAAAUUAUAUUUGCUAUGGUUUCCUUAUUUAUUAUUUUCUAAACGUCCGAUAUGUUUGAAAUGCAACAGUAUGUUUUUCAAGAUUUUUAGCUGUUAAAAUAAUUGCCAAUUUUUCUAGAGAACGUAGAAUGUGGAAAGAAUCUUUGCGAAUAAGAAACAUAAAUAUCGCGAGUGUUAUUGUUCUCGAGUCUUAAAUCUUCAACGGCCUAAUAUCAGACAUGGAUAUGUGAGAAUUAAAAACAUCCAUUGGAAGAAGACUAACGAAGUUGAAACAAAUUAAAUUGUUGGAAUGGCACACUUACGAGUCGUUUAAUAAAAUGAGUUUACGCCGUCCCAUGAUACGCAUAUAGGUAAACUUCAGCAAGAAUUUACCCUUUUAAUCGAAAAUGAUCUUUUAUUAUUUCGAACAAUUUUUACGUGAUCUUGUAAUCGAUCUUAUUAGGUUAUACACAGAUCUGUAUGGUAUUCUUUAUUCUGUAGGUAUGCUUUAACUUAGUCGACAAAUAUUGUAAAUGUAGAUGUAUUGGUUAUUCGUAAGGUUCACAGACAGAUGGACAGAUUCGCUUCGUACGAAUCGCUGGUGGUUCGUUUCUAUCCUGUGAAGUGUCGCGCAUAACCUAAUAGUUUCGUUUCACAUCGGUGAUACUCGGCUACCUUCGCCAGACUUUCCAUCCACAAAAAUAGACCAGCCAAUGUCUAUCAUCCAAUACCGUAUCUUUUUUACUAGAGCGUAAUCAACGCAAAAUCAUUCCUAAGCUGUAUUGUCUGUUAGUUAUUUAUAAUUUCAUGCAAUAUCGAGAACAGUAUUAAACGAAAUAAAUCUUUGUAUCGUAUUUCGCCUUUUCAUCGUUCAUUAUCGUUCAUUAUCGUUAUUAUGUGUCAACUUAAUAGAGAGAACAAUAUCACCGAUACUCGGAAACAAGCAAUAUUUAUUUAAGUCCACUAUAUGAUAUGUUACUGAAAUGUUAAUUACUAAAGAAAAGAAAAUAUUAUACUCAUAUUUGGAUAUCAAUUUCUUUCAGUGCAAGUUUGGAAAUUCCCUUUAACAGCUUAGAUCGAGAUCAAAUUAAUUAGGAAAAACAAUAUUUGUAAAUACAGUAUCACGUAUACAUAUACCUAUGCGGAUACAUAUACAUUUAACACGUUAAAGUAAUUGUACGACACAUUUCGAUAUUAAGGGCUUUUGCAUUUUCAUUUGAAAGAGAAAGUGUUUUAUAUCACAAAUAUAAUUUUACAUAUAUAUCAGUUUAAAAUUUCUCAAUGAAAUCGAUAGCGUUAUUCUUUACGGAGAAUAAAAGUUCUCCCACUGAAAAAGUAACUUCCUAAUUCCAUCGUAUAGGUGAAGGAAGGUGGAAGGACAUAGAAGCUGAGGAAUAUGGUUAAAGAACGUUUUGAAUAUGACCUUUUUCAAACUAUUUGUCUUCUAUAUACAUUAAUUCCACAUAUAUAGUGUAUAUCUAAUGUAAUAAUAAUUUACUCAAGACGAUUAUGUCAAACUAUUUAUCUCGUGUUUAAAAUAUACAUAAUGCAUAUAAAACUUUAUUAUCAUUAUGGCGUUGAACUACUUACAAUUAGUAUAGUAAUAAUUUUGUAUUCAUUUUUACAGUAGAUAUUUCAUUGAUCAAUUUUUUACUGUUUUGAUACAUUUAUAAAUUAAAUUCGCUUGCAUGAUCACACAAGUUCGAGAUCAAAUCUAUCUAUGCAUGUAUAAUAUAAUCACGUUCUGAUUGUUCUUUGAGUUUACAAAGGAAACAAAAGAUAUUUAUUUCCGCACUUGUAAUCAUCAUAUACUACAUACACAUAUACGUGUACAUAUACAUAUUAGACAAAAUACUGAGACUUUUAUCGACAAAAGCUGUAUGUGGAACCGUAUUAUAGGCAUUGAUUUAUGUAAUUGUAAAUUGUAACAUAAUAGAUUGCGUUCCGUUUUAUUUCAAACGGAAGCUGUAUAACGAGAUAAAAAAGGUAAUUGAAUUAUU